rnacentral:rRNA from 1 species
GACGAACGCUGGCGGCGUGCCUAAUACAUGCAAGUUGAGCGCUGAAGGUUGGUACUUGUACCAACUGGAUGAGCAGCGAACGGGUGAGUAACGCGUGGGUAAUCUGCCUUUGAGCGGGGGACAACAUUUGGAAACGAAUGCUAAUACCGCAUAAAAACUUUAAACACAAGUUUUAAGUUUGAAAGAUGCAAUUGCAUCACUCAAAGAUGAUCCCGCGUUGUAUUAGCUAGUUGGUGAGGUAAAGGCUCACCAAGGCGAUGAUACAUAGCCGACCUGAGAGGGUGAUCGGCCACAUUGGGACUGAGACACGGCCCAAACUCCUACGGGAGGCAGCAGUAGGGAAUCUUCGGGAAUGGACGAAAGUCUGACCGAGCAACGCCGCGUGAGUGAAGAAGGUUUUCGGAUCGUAAAACUCUGUUGGUAGAGAAGAACGUUGGUGAGAGUGGAAAGCGCAUCAAGUGACGGUAACUACCCAGAAAGGGACGGCUAACUACGUG